rnacentral:pre_miRNA from 1 species
UCAACCCAUUUAACCAUCUAACCCAUCAAAUUAAAUGAGUUUAUGGGUUGAUUCAACUCAUUUUGCUAAAUGAGUUGAAUCAACCCAUAAACUCAUUUAACUUCAAACUCAUUGGGUAAUGAGU